rnacentral:rRNA from 1 species
UACGUAGGGGGCAAGCGUUGUCCGGAAUUAUUGGGCGUAAAGCGCGCGCAGGCGGCCUUGUAAGUCUAGUGUUUAAUCUCGAAGCUCAACUUCGAUUCGCACUGGAAACUGCAAAGCUUGAGUACAGAAGAGGAAAGUGGAAUUCCACGUGUAGCGGUGAAAUGCGUAGAGAUGUGGAGGAACACCAGUGGCGAAGGCGACUCACUGGCCCGAUACUGACGCUGAGGCACGAAAGCGUGGGGAGCAAACAGG